rnacentral:rRNA from 1 species
GACGAACGCUGGCGGCGUGCUUAACACAUGCAAGUCGAGCGGUAAGGCCCUUUGGGGUACACGAGCGGCGAACGGGUGAGUAACACGUGAGUAAUCUGCCUUUGGCUUGGGAAUAACUUCGGGAAAUCGGGGCUAAUGCCUGAUGUUUACUGUCUGCUGCAUGGUGGGUGGUGGAAAGAUUUUUUGGCCAGGGAUGAGCUCGCGGUCUAUCAGCUUGUUGGUGGGGUAAGUGGCUACCAAGGCUUUGUACGGGUAGCCGGCCUGAGAGGGUGUUCGGCC